CGACUUUCUUGUUGUGUCACAUCACAAUUAAUAAUAAGAUCAUUCCUAGUAUAUAGCUAAUGUGAUAAUAUUUCUAGACUAAUCUCAACUAUUAAGUAACAAGUAUUCACUUGCUUUUGUUUUGUCCAUUGGCACAUUUACCCUAUGCUAAAGGGUCUAAAUCCUAGGUUGACUCUUGACACUUGUAACAAGAUGACCUAAAGUUAACGCAAUCUAUAAUAGCUAAAUCCAUUCAUUGUUCCAUUCAUUGUUAAUUUUCCAACCAAGUUCCUAUUUUUAAAAGAAUAGCCAAAGUCCUAAAGAACCACAAAAGCACGUGUCGGAAGAUAUGUACAUUAAAUCUGUGUACUUAGUCAUACAUUUCAUUUAUUCCUGCAUGAUGGCUGAAUGACAAAUGUCAAAUCUUGCCAAGAGGAACUCAGG
rnacentral:misc_RNA from 1 species